rnacentral:rRNA from 1 species
UCCCCCUUCGCCCUGCUCCCAUUCAUCCCCUGAGGAACCCUAGCCACCGCCCCAAUUAGCCACCGGCCUCCUCUCCGCCAUUGCUGCCCACCUCCCGCUCCUCCCACUACCACUCUAACCUCACAUCCAGAACCAUCCGGUUCAGUCCAUAGAAGGGGAGGGAAUGGCUGCGGUGGCGGAGGAUGUGGAGGCGUUCCUGGCGAUGUGCGCGGUGUUGGGGGAUGCAGCAUACGGUGCAACCAAGGCCAUGCUGGAGUGGCUCAACGCGCCGGCCAAGCGCGCCGAGGCCAGGCGGCUCCUCGGCACCGUGCGAUGACGAUUCACCAUCGGCGGCCCUGCCGCAGGCCUCGAGUGCUUCCGCAUCAGUGGAGAGGCCCCAAUUCCUCCCUAGGUCUGCACACCGACGCCAGCCGCCGCAACCGGAAAGCGCUCUCCAGCCACUGCCAUAUGCCUGGUUUCUUUACCUUCUUUUACUUUUAUGGAUUUAUAGCUAGCAAUAGAGGACCAUAGAUGGGGAACAAAUUGAGGAGGUACGACGGUUGGGGUAGGCUUGACCGCCGGUGGAUUCGCCGUGGCCCGGGUUCUGGCAGAUUGGUGUUGGUGUAGGCGGUAAUUGCAGCGACGUUGGUGGACCAUCUGUUGGUCUUGGAUGCCCCAGUCUGGGUUUUUGAGGCUAUGGAAAGCUGGAUGUGCUCUUUUUUCUAGGUGGGAUCAGACGUUGUUCUGGGUGGCAAAUGCCUCGUUGUGUUGACUACCAUAGUGAGGCCGGUGGAAUUCAGUGGCCUGGCAUCAAGGAGUUGAGGCUGAGGUUGCAGGCAAUUGCACUGAGAGUGCUAUGGGAGUGGCUUCGACGUACCCAACCUAGAAGACCCUUGCAAGGGCUAGAGAUGAUAUAGUCAAUUUUGUGCAUGGGAAAUUCAUAGACUGAUUAUGUAUGCUAUGUAGUGUGUUGAUGCUGCUCAUGAUCCAGUCAUACCUAGAGUCAUAACUUUGGUUUUCUCACAUGCCUUCGUUUCGCAUUAUCUUGUGUAAGCACAUCCAUGCAAAAGGUUGUGUGGGUGUCUUUUAAUUUCAGAGGUAAAUAAACUCCCCUUAGUUUUUUGGCCUGACACUAAAUCAGCUUUCUUCUUUUACGCAAUUCAUGUCGCUAAGAUUGUUUUUUACCAUGUAAAUUUUCCCUGAUCGGUUUGCUUGAUGGAUGAAUGGUGAUGAUGAUGUGAUUGUUUUUUUACCAUGUGCAACCAGUACUUGGCCGAGAUGCUCACCGAGAACCAGAUGCUUGGGCCUUUGAUGCAGGUGCUGCCCAUAUGCAGCAAGCUGUCGAGCCAAGGUUGUUGGCACAUCUUAUAACCAGGUAACUUCCACUGGAUCCUUCUAUUAACAAGCAGCUAGACCCAAGGUUUACAUGAAGAGGGAGAAUGUCGGCAGCUGGAAUUCUGGGCUGGAAAAGGAGCAAAUAUUAGAGACCUAUUCUGCACAACUCCAAAAGUCUUGAAACUCCACGGAAGUUAUUUUUGGAAUUAAUAAAAAAUACAGAGCAAAGAAAAUACCAGAGGGGGGACACCCACCAUCCACGAUGGUGGGAGGCGUGCCCUACCCCCCUGGGCGUGCCCCCUGCCUCGUGGGCCACCUGGCAGGCCUCCGGUGCCCAUCUUCUGCUAUAUGAAGUCUUUUACCCAGGAAAAAAAUAAUAAGCAAGCUUUCGGGAUGAAACACCGCCACCACGAGGCGGAACCUUGGCAGAACCAAUCUAGGGCUCCGGCGGAGCUGUUCUGCCGGGCAAACAUCCCUCCGGAAGGGGGAAAUCAUCACCAUCGUCAUCUCCAUCGAUCCUCUCAUCGGGAGGGGAUCAAUCUCCUUCAACAUCUUCACCAGCACCAUCUCCUCUCAAACCCUAGUUCAUCUCUUGUAUCCAAUCUUUGCCUCAAAACCUCAGAUUGGUACCUGUGGGUUGCUAGUAGUGUUGAUUACUCCUUGUAGUUGAUGCUAGUUGGCUUAUUCGGUGGAAGAUCAUAUGCUCAGAUCCUUAAAGCAUAUUAAUACCCCUCUGAUUAUGAACAUGAAUAUGAUUUGUGAGUAGUUAUGUUUGUUCCUGAGGACAUGGGAGAAGUCUUGCCAUAAGUAGUCAUGUGAAUUUGGUAUUCGUUUGAUAUUUUGAUGAGAUGUAUGUUGUCUUUCCUCUAGUGGUGUUAUGUGAACAUCGACUACAUGACACUUCACCAUUGUUUGGGCCUAGACGAAGGCAUUAGGAAGUAAUAGGUAUAUGAUGGGUUGCUAGAGUGACAGAAGCUUAAACCCUAGUUUAUGAGUUGCUUCGUAAGGGGCUGAUUUGGAUCCAUAUGUUUCAUGCUGUGGUUAGGUUUACCUUAAUACUUCUUUUGUAGUUACGGAUGCUUGCAAUAGGGGUUAAUCAUAAGUUGGAUGCUUGUCCAAGAAAGGGCAGUACCCAAGCACUGGUCCACCCACAUACCAAGCACUGCACCUUAUUUACUUUUGUUAGUUGUUACCCGUUACGAAUUACCUUAUCACAAAACUAUCUGUUACCGACAAUUUCAGUGCUUGCAGAGAAUACCUUACUGAAAACCGCUUGUCAUUUCCUUCUGCUCCUCGUUGGGUUCGACACUCUUACUUAUCAAAAGGACUAAGAUAGAUCCCCUACACUUGUGGGUCAUCAAGACUCUUUUCUGGCGCCAUUGCCGGGGAGUGAAGCGCCUUUGGUAAGUUGAACUUGGUAAGGAAAAAUUUAUAUAGUGUGCUGAAAUUUACUAUCACUUGUUACUAUGAAACAUAAUCCUUUGAGGGGCUUGUUCGGGGUAUCUUCGCCCUGACCAGUAGAGCAAAGAGUUGCUCCUCAACCUACUGAACCUACUGAAAAUGUUUACUUUGAAAUUCAGGUAUGAUAGAGAAACUGCUAGCUAAUCCUUCUACAGGAGAUGGAACAUUGCAUCCCGAUUUGCACCUAAUCUAUGUGGAUGAAGUUUGUGGAUUAUUUAAGCUUGCAGGUAUGCCCGAGGAUAUUAUCAAGAAGAAGGUCUUCCCUUUAUCUUUGAAGGGAAAGGCAUUGACAUGGUUUAGGCUAUGUGAUGAUAUGGGAUCAUGGAACUACAACCAAUUGAAAUUGGAAUUUCAUCAGAAGUUUUAUCCUAGGCAUCUUGUUCAUCAUGAUCGUAAUUAUAUAUAUAAUUUUUGGCCUCGCAAAGGAGAAAGCAUCGCUCAAGCUUGGGGAAGGCUUAAGUCAAUGUUAUAUUCAUGCCCCAAUCAUGACCUCUCAAGAGAAAUUAUUAUUCAAUUUUUUUAUGCUCGGCUUUCUCUCAACAAUCUCUCCAUGCUCAAUACUUCUGGUACUAGUUCUUUUAUGAUGAAGACUAUUGAAUUCAGAUGAGAUUUAUUGGAAAGAAUUAAUCGCAACUCUGAAGAUUGGGAUAUCGACGAAGGUAAGGAGUCAGGUAUAACACCUAAGUUUGAUUGUGUUAAAUCUUUUAUUGAUACCAAUGCUUUUAAUGAAUUUAGCACUAAAUAUGGACUUGACUCUGAGAUAGUAGCUUCUUUUUGUGAAUUAUUUGCUACUCAUGUUGACCUCCCUAAGGAGAAGUGGUUUAAAUAUAAUCCUCCCAUUGAAGUAAAAGUAGUUGCACCUAUUAAAGUUGAAGAAAAGACUAUCACUUUUAAUGAUCCUAUUGUUCCUACUACCCAUAUUGAGAACCCACCUUUCCCUAUUAGGAUAAAGGAUCAUGCUAAAGCUUCAACUGUGGUUCGUAAGAGUAAUACUAGAACACCUACACCACCUAAGCAUAUUAAAGUUGACCCUAGUAUGGCCAUGGUUAAAGAUCUCUUGGCUGAUAAUAUUGAUGGGCAUGUUAUUUACUUCUGUGAUGAAGCUGCUAGAAUUGUUAGACCCAAUGCUAAAAAUAAACAUAGACCUGUUGUAGGCAUGCCUGUUAUUUUUGUUAAAAUGGGAGAUCAUUGUUAUCAUGGCUUAUGUGAUAUAGGUGCUAGUGCAAGUGCAAUACCUCAUUCCUUAUAAAAGGAAAUUAUGCAUGAUAUUGCACCUGUUGAGAUAGAAGAAAUUGAUGUUACAAUUAAGCUUGCCAAUAGAGAUACUAUUUCACCAAUUGGGAUUGUUAGAGAUGUCGAAGUCUUGUGUGGGAAAGUUAAAUAUCCUGCUGAUUUUCUUGUUCUUGGUUCCCCACAAGAUAGCUUUUGUCCCAUCAUAUUUGGUAGACCCUUCUUGAAUACUGUUAAUGCUAGGAUAGACUGCAAAAAGGAUGUUGUUACUAUUGGUUUGGGGGAUAUGUCUCAUGAGUUUAAUUUUUCUAAAUUUCAUAGACAACCCCGUGAUAAAGAAUUUCCUAGUAAGGAUGAAAUUAUUGGUCUUCCUUCUAUUGCCGUGCCUCCUAAUGAUCCUUUAGAGCAAUAUUUGCUAGACCAUGAAAUGAUAUGUUUAUGAAUGAAAGAAGGGAGAUAGAUGAAGUAUUCUUUAAACAGGGACCUAUUUUGAAACCCAACUUGCCUGUUGAAAUCCUAGGGGAUCCUCAUCCACCCAAGGGUGAUCCCAUGUUUGAGCUUAAACCACUACCUGAUACCCUUAAAUAUGCUUAUCUUGAUGAAAAGAAUAUAUAUCCUAUUAUUAUUAGUGCUAACCUUUCAGAGCAGGAAGAGGAGAAAUUAUUGAAAACUCUGAAGAAGCACCGUGCUGCUAUUGGAUAUACUCUUGAUGAUCUUAAGGGCAUUAGUCCCACCCUAUGCCAACACAAAAUAGAAUUGGAGAAAGAUCCCAAACCAGUUGUUGAUCACCAACGGCGGUUGAAUCCUAAGAUGAAAGAAGUGGUUAGAAAAAAAAUACUAAAGCUCCUGGAGGCAAUUAUAAUCUAUCCUGUUGCUGAUAGUCAGUGGGUAAGUCAUGUCCAUUGUGUCCCUAAGAAGGGAGGUAUCACUUUCGUUCCUAAUGAUAAAGAUGAAUUGAUCCUGCAAAGAAUUGUCAUAGGUUAUAGGAUGGUAAUUGAUUUCCGCAAGUUAAAUAAAGCUACUAAAAAGUAUCAUUACCCUUUACCUUUUAUAGAUCAAAUGCUAGAAAGAUUAUCCAAACAUACACAUUUUUGCUUUCUAGAUGGUUACUCUAGUUUCUUUCAAAUACCUGUGUCAAAAGAGGAUCAAGAAAAGACGACUUUUACUUGCCCUUUCGGUACUUUUGCUUAGAGACAUAUGCCUUUUGGUUUAUGUAAUGCACCUGCUACCUUUCAAAGAUGCAUGAUGGCUAUAUCUCUGACUUUUGUGAAAAGAUUGUUGAGGUUUUCAUGGAUGAUUUCUCCGUUUAUGGAUCUUCUUUUGAUGAUUGCUUGAGCAACCUUGAUCGAGUUUUGCAGAGGUGUGAAGAAACUAAUCUUGUCUUGAAUUGGGAGAAGUGCCACUUUAUGGUUAAUGAAGGCAUUGUCUUGGGACAUAAAAUUUCUGAAAGAGGUAUUGAAGUUGAUAAAUCUAAAGUUGAUGCUAUUGAAAAGAUGUCGUGUCCUAAAGACAUUAAAGGUAUAAGAAGUUUCCUUGGUCAUGCCGGUUUUUAUAGAGGUUUAUUAAGGACUUCUCUAAAAUUUCUAGGCCUCUGACUAAUCUCUUACAAAAAGAUAUUCCUUUUGUCUUCGAUGAUGAUUGUGUAGAAGCAUUUGAAAUACUUAAGAAAGCUUUGAUUUCUGUACCUAUUGUUCAGCCACCUGAUUAGAAUUUACCCUUUGAAAUUAUGUGCGAUGCUAGUGAUUAUGCCGUAGCUAGGUGCUGUUCUAGGACAAAGAGUUGAUAAGAAACUAAAUGUUAUUCAAUAUGCUAGUAAAACUCUAGACAGUGCCCAGAGAAAUUAUGCUACUACUGAAAAAGAAUUUUUAGAAGUUGUAUUUGCUUGUGAUAAGUUUAGACCUUAUAUUAUUAAUUCUAAAGUAAUUGUUCACACUGAUCAUGCUGCUAUUAAAUAUCUUAUGGAAAAGAAAUAUGCUAAACCUAGAAUUAUUAGAUGGGUUCUCCUACUACAAGAAUUUUAUUUGCAUAUUAUUGAUAGAAAGGGAGCUGAAAACCCCACUGCAGACAACUUGUCUAGGUUAGAGAAUGUUCUUGAUGACCCACUACCUAUUGAUGAUAGCUUUCCUGACGAACAAUUAGCUGUCAUAAAUGCUUCUCCUACUGCUCCAUGGUAUGUUGAUUAUGCUAAUUACAUUGUUGCUAAAUUUAUACCACCUAGUUUCACGUACCAGCAAAAGAAAAAGUUUUUCUAUGAUCUAAGACAUUACUUCUAGGAUGACCCGCAUCGUUAUAAAGAAGGACUAGAUGGUGUUAUUAGACAUUGUGUACCUGAGCGUGAACAGGAACAGAUCCUACACAAGUGCCACUCCGAGGCUUAUGGAGGACACCAUGCUGGAGAUAGGACUGCGCAUAAGGUAUUGCAAUCCGGAUUUUAUUGGCCUACUCUCUUCAAGGAUGCCUGUAAGUUUGUCUUGUCUUGCGAUGAAUGUGAAAGAAUUGGUAAUAUUAGUAGACGUCAAGAAAUGCCUAUGAAUUAUUCUCUUGUUAUUGAACCAUCUGAUGUUUGAGGCUUUGAUUAUAUGGGAUCGUUUCCUUCCUCUAAUGGGUAUACACAUAUUUUAGUUACUGUUGAUUACGUUACUAAGUGGGUAGAAGCUAUUCCAACUAGUAGUGCUGAUCAUAAUACCUCUAUUAAGAUGCUUAAAGAAGUUAUUUUUCCGAGGUUUGGAGUCCCUAGAUAUUUAAUGACUGAUGGUGGUUCACAUUUUAUUCAUGGUGCUUUUCGUAAAAUGCUUGCUAAGUAUGACGUUAAUCAUAGAAUUGUAUCUCCAUAUCACCCACAGUCUAGUGGCCAAGUAGAACUGAGUAACAUAGAGCUUAAAUUGAUUUUGCAAAAGACUGUUAAUAGAUCUAGAAAGAAUUGGUCCAAGAAACUUGAUGAUGCAUUGUGGGCUUAUAGAACUGCAUAUAAAGAUCCUAUGGGUAUGUUUCCAUAUAAAAUGGUUUAUGGAAAAGCAUGUCACUUACCUCUCGAACUAGAACAUAAGGCAUAUUGGGCCAAGAGCUUAAUUACAAUUUCAAACUUGCCGAUGAGAAGAGGUUAUUUGAUAUUAGCUCACUUGAUGAAUGGAGAACUCAAGCCUAUGAGAAUGCCAAACUGUUUAAAGAAAAAGUUAAAAGAUGUCAUGACAAAAGGAUACAAAAGCGUUAGUUUAAUGUAGGUGACUAUGUGUUGCUAUUCAACUCUCGUUUAAGAUUUUUUGCAGGAAAACUCCUCUCUAGAUGGGAAGGGCCUUACGUUAUCGAGGAGUUCUAUCGUUCCGGUGCCAUAAAAAUCAACAACUUCAAAGGCACAAAUUCGAAGGUGGUGAACGGUCAAAGGAUCAAAUAUUAUAUCUCAGGUAAUCCCAUAAAUGUUGAAACCAAUGUUAUUGAAACCGUAACCCCGGAGGAAUACAUGAGGGACACUUCCGAGAACGUUUCAGACUCCAAAAAGGAAUAGGUAUGUGGUACGGUAAGUAAACCGACUCCAAAAUAGUUCUAAUAGAAAUUUUUCUCCGUUUUGGAAUAUUUAGGAAAAUAGGAAAAUAAGAAGUAGUCCAGGAAGGACACAGGCAUCCACGAGGGUGGAGGGCGCGCCCUACCCCCUCGGCAUGCCCCCUGCCUCGUGGGCACCUCGUGUGCUCUCUGGACUCUGUUUUCUUGCACGAUACUUCUUUUUGUCGGUAAAAAUUCAUUAUAUAAUCUCCCGAAGGUUUUGACCACCGUACCACGACGAAAUCCUCUGUUUUUGUCUUGAACUGUUUUGGUCACAGAUUAGAGCAAGAUGUCUUCUCAAGAGUCAGUAGGGGAGAGUCGGGUGUCUCAUCCAACACCGGGACCAGGAGCAAACAACGAUGCUGACAACUUUGGUCCAUCAAUGGAGGAAGAGAUGGAGGCCGAUUUGAAAAGGAUAGAUGCUAUGGUGGAGGAUCAAGAAGUUACUUGUCGCUUCCGAUCCGGAUUCACGAUGGGGGAACUGCAGAGCUCAACUAUUCUAAACUCGGUCAUCCCUUCCAAUGUUAGAUUUCUUUCUUAUGAAAAUAUGAAAAAGAGUGCCACUUGUUCCCCCGCAGCUAUGCAACAUCCAUGGGUGAAAGGAACUUUAGCCGUCACGGGUAAGCUCCGUAAGGAAAUAAUGGACCUCAAGCAGCAAGUCAGUAAGCUCGAGGAGGAGAAUUGUAUCCUGAGGGGCAUCAUUGCCAAGAAUAUCACACCACCACCUCCAAAGAAAGAGACAUAAUCACAUGGGUAUGGGCACUCCCCUUGGCAAUUGCCAAGCUUGGGGGAGGUGCCCCGAUAUCGUAUCACCAUCACACUCCUAUCUUUACCGUUUUCUUAGUUUGAUCCUUUUGGUAAUAUCUUGAUCUAGUAGAAUAAAGUUUUAGUAUGAUCUAGUUUUGAGUUUUGCUUUAUGAUUCCUCUAUCUAAUCGAGUCCAUGAGCUAUAUAUAAUGAAGAUUAGUGUUGAGUCAAGGGCUUUGCUAUCUUGCUAUGAUCUUGUGGGAGUAAAAGAAAAAGAAAGAAUAAAAAAGAAAUAAAGAGAUCAUAUGGAUCUUAUGGAGAGUAAUGACUUCACAUAUAAAGAGUAUGAUGAAUAAAAGUUGUUGAGAGUUGAAAAACAUAGUUUUGGUCAUUGUUGCAAUUAAUAGGAAGUAAUAAAGAAAGAGAGGUUUUCACAUAUAAAUAUACUAUCUUG